rnacentral:tRNA from 1 species
GGGGCUAUGGUGUAAUUGGGAGCGCGGUCGGAUCGACAGGUAGAGGUUCGAUCCCUCUCAGCUCCACCA